GGAAUCAUGUCUUUCGAUCUCAUAUGCUGAAGCCAUCCUGCAGCUGCUUUGGAUCCUCCCAAGAUCUGUACGGCUGAGGACCAAAAGAAGAAAGAUGAUGAGGAUUUGGUGAGUGGCUGUUCGGGAUUUCGCCCUCGCUGGUUCUCUACACCGCAAAUCCGAAUCAUUUCAACUUUUACCGUAUUCCCCGAAGCUUUUGAAUGGUUAUGUCCUGAGAAUCAGAUUGAUUAUGUCCUGUUAUUUGCCUAGGGCUUCCUUUAUAUGUCAAGAUCAUUCGUAUAGAAUAUAUGUCAUGAUGCUAUUCACGUCUUUGCUUGCCUUUGCGAUUGAUCUUCUCAGCCUCUUCUUACAAUCCCUGAAGGCCUACUUUAUAUUGGAUGAACUCUUGAUUGCCGGUGAACUUCUUUAUGUUUGUCCGAAUUUGACUCAAUCCAAAUUAUAGGUUAAUAGCUUUCCAGUAUUGGGUUUAAAAAGCUUUAUAAAUGCUUGAUGAAUAUUUUCCUGCAGU